UACCAGCACCCCGAGUGGUCGGGACGAUUAUUGGGCCUAAAGCAUCCGUAGCCGGUCUUGCAAGUCUUCCGUUAAAUCCAGCUGCUUAACAGAUGGGCUGCGGAAGAUACUACAAGACUAGGAGGUGGGAGAGGCAAGCGGUACUCAGUGGGUAGGGGUAAAAUCCUCUGAUCCAUUGAAGACCACCAGUGGCGAAGGCGGCUUGCCAGAACGCGCUCGACGGUGAGGGAUGAAAGCUGGGGGAGCAAACAGG
rnacentral:rRNA from 1 species